GCUGGGCGCAGUGGCGCGUGCCUGUAAUCCCAGCGGCUUGGGAGGCUAAGAUAGGAGGAUCAUGAGUUCAAAGGCAGCCUCAGCAACUUGGCAAGGCCCUAAGCAACUCAGUGAGACGCUGUUUCUA
rnacentral:sRNA from 1 species